AAUGCCGCGUGUGGGAAGAACCCUUCGGGGUGUAACCACUGUCAGGGGUUAGCAAGCAAUCCGGUCGAACAGGCCGGUGCGUUGAGCAGCCCCAGAGGAAGCCACGGCUAACUUCGUGCCAGCAGCCGCGGUAAGACGAAGGUGGCAAGCGUUGUUCGGAAUCACUGGGCUUAAAGGGCACGCAGGCGGCCUGUCAAGUGUCUUGUGAAAUCCCUCGACUCAACCGAGGAAUUGCAGGGCAAACUGGCAGGCUUGAGGCAGGUAGGGGCAAGUGGAACUCUUGGUGGAGCGGUGGAAUGCGUAGAUAUCAAGAGGAACGCCAGUGGCGAAAGCGACUUGCUAGGCCUGUCCUGACGCUGAGGUGCGAAAGCCAGGGGAGCGAACGGGAUUAGAUACCCCGGUAGUCCUGGCCCUAAACGAUGUCCACUAGGUCGGAGGUUCUCUGACGGAUUUCCGGCCGAAACGAAAGCGUUAAGUGGACCGCCUGGGGAGUACGGUCGCAAGGCUAAAACUCAAAGGAAUUGACGGGGGCUCACACAAGCGGUGGAGCAUGUUGCUUAAUUCGAUGCAACGCGAAGAACCUUAUCCUGGGCUUGACAUGUUCGGAUGCCCUCCUGGAAACAGGUCGGGUUGCCCUUCGGGGUGAAACGUUCACAGGUGCUGCAUGGCUGUCGUCAGCUCGUGUCGUGAGAUGUUGGGUUAAGUCCCGUAACGAGCGAAACCCUUGUCGUUAGUUGCCAGCGCGUCAUGGCGGGGACUCUAACGAGACUGCCGGUGUUAAACCGGAGGAAGGUGGGGAUGACGUCAAGUCCUCAUGGCCUUUAUGCCCAGGGCCGCAAACGUGCUACAAUGGCCGAUACAAACCGACGCAAGACCGCGAGGUGGAGCAAAUCGGAAAAAGUCGGCCCCAGUUCGGAUUGGAGUCUGCAACUCGACUCCAUG
rnacentral:rRNA from 1 species